GUCAGGGACAUGCCAACGGGAACAAUUAAACGCUAUCCAUUGUUUUCACUAGACUAACAUUUACUGAACACAUAUUUGUCUGUGCCAGGCGCCGGGACCACGAAAAUGAACGAAACACAGGCCUGCCCAGUCCUUCGGAAUUCACCAUGCAAUGUAUUCAUAGGACCAGAGGAGACAGCCCCUGAUGCUACUCUGCUUGUACCCUGGUUCUUCCGGUGGAUGUCCCCUUCCCAGUGAGCCCUUCCCUGACCACCAUGCUUAAAAUGGAAACCCUCCCCCAUGGCUUGGAACUCUAUUCCCCUUCUCUCCUUCCUUCUUUUCCAAAGCACCCUCAUCAAAUACAGUAAAAUAUUGGUUUGCAAGCAUAAGUCGCUCCAGAAACAUGCUUGUAAUCCAAAGCACUUAUAUAUCAAAGGAAAUUUCAAGAAUCAUUGUUGUGAUCGCAUACUACUCAUAUGGCAAGACAUCGCUUGUUUAUCAAGUUAAAAUUUAUUAGAAAUGUGUGUUUGUCUUGCAGAACAUUCGCAGACCAAGUUACUUGAAAGCCAGGGUUUUCGAGUGUAUUAAAUAGGUGUAUUAAAUAGGUCUCCCUCCCCUCCCAGAAUGUAAGCUCCACGAGAGCAGAUUUUUCCAGUCUGUUCUGUUUACUGACAUGUUCCCUGUGCCUGAAACAGAGCCUUGUACAUAUUGGUUGGAUGAAUUAAAGAUAAUAAGAAUAAC